rnacentral:rRNA from 1 species
AUUGAACGCUGGCGGCAGGCCUAACACAUGCAAGUCGAACGAGUGGCGGACGGGUGAGGAAUGACUGGGAAACUGCCUGAUGGAGGGGGAUUACUACUGGAAACGGUAGCUAAUACCGCAUACCAUCGGAUGUGCCCAGAUGGGAUUAGCUAGUAGGUGGGGUAACGGCUCACCUAGGCGACGAUCCCUAGCUGGUCUGACAGGAUGACCAGCCACACUGUAGCUGAGACACGGUCCAGACUCCUACGGGAGGCAGCAGUAGGGAAUAUUGCACAAUGGGCGAAAGCCUGAUGCAGCCAUGCCGCGUGUAUGAAGAAGGCCUUCGGGUUAUAAAGUACUUUCAGCGGAGAAGCGUUACCCGCAGAAGAAGCACCGGCUAACUCCGUGCCAGCAGCCGCGGUAAUAC